rnacentral:rRNA from 1 species
UACGAAGGGGGCGAGCGUUGUUCGGAUUUACUGGGCGUAAAGGGCGCGCAGGCGGCUCGUUUUGUCAGGCGUGAAAGCCCCGGGCUUAACCUGGGACUGCGUUUGAUACGGACGGGCUAGAGUUCGGGAGAGGAGGAGUGGGAAUUCCCAGUGUAGAGGUGAAAUUCGUAGAUAUUGGGAAGAACACCGGUGGCGAAGGCGGCUCUCUGGACCGAGACUGACGCUGAGGCGCGAAAAGCGGUGGGGAGCAAACAGG